rnacentral:rRNA from 1 species
UACGAAGGGGGCUAGCGUUGUUCGGAAUUACUGGGCGUAAAGCGUAUGCAGGCGGAUCGUUAAGUCGGGGGUGAAAUCCCGAGGCUCAACCUCGGAACUGCCUUCGAUACUGGCGACCUUCGAGUCCGGGAGAGGUGAGUGGAACUCCGAGUGUAGGGGUGAAAUUCGUAGAUAUUCGCAAGAACACCAGUGGCGAAGGCGGCUCACUGGCCCGGUACUGACGCUGAGGUGCGAAAGCGUGGGGAGCAAACAGG